rnacentral:rRNA from 1 species
UACGAAGGGGGCGAGCGUUGUUCGGAAUCACUGGGCGUAAAGGGCGCGUAGGCGGCCCUCUUAGUCGCGUGUGAAAGCCCCGGGCUCAACCUGGGAACGGCGCGCGAAACGGGAGGGCUGGAGUUCGGGAGAGGAGAGUGGAAUUCCCAGUGUAGAGGUGAAAUGCGUAGAUAUCUGGAGGAACAUCGGUGGCGAAGGCGGCCUGCUGGGACGUUACUGACGCUGAGGCACGAAAGCGUGGGGGAGCAAACAGG